AGCGAGCCAGCGGCCACUGCAAAGGGGCGAAGGGCAGUCCCGCGGUCAGUAAGGGCCACUGAACUUUCUGCCCACCGGUCAUCCGGAGCUGAGGACUGGGACAUGGUGGGGUGCGUCGGCGAGGGUCCCCUGACCCUGCACAAACCCAGGGGUGUGGUGUGGAUGACCCGGGAAGCCGCACCCAGAGCUGGCGGCCCCCUCCUGUCCUUCCUCAUCCUUUCACUGAGCGGGUUCAGGCCCUAGUUACUACCGCAGGCACCAGCCACACCCGGGGAGAUGUGUGCUGUUUUGUGCAAGACGCUGCGGUCACCCAGUCCGGAAUUCUGCUGGUCUACACCGAGUGCCGCAACACCACCACCACCUCCGCACACAUACGCCCUCCUUGAACCUCUUCCCCAUGAAUGCUUUGGCUUUUAAGGAACUUUGUGGCGUUUCUGCUCUUUCGGAGGCAGCUGCCCGAGGCAGCUUCCCAAGGCAGAACAGGGACUGACUGCUGAGGUUCCGCGGGGUCGGGGAGGUGGAGAAGCCAGUUCCCAAGUGGCUCGUCGCGGGUGUUAGAGUCCCUCGUUACUAAGGACGCCGCCGCCCGCGCGCCAGGCUUGGGGACCAGGGUGACUCUGCCCUUUCUGGGCGGAAUACGGGUGAAGGCUGUCUUUGGGGAUCCACAGGUGAUCUGUGCCGUUCUCAUUGUAUUCUCAACUCUCAUCCCUUCCAGGUUAGCCCGAUCCCUUUAAUGCAAGGAUCGGUGCCGGGAGGAAAGAGAGCGUGGGCCACUCUGGAACGGAGGCUGGUGUUUUGGGGGAGCGGGGAGAGCCUGUAGCCCACACAUCUCCACGGCUCUGGCCCAAUUUCUCCACUUUUUCACUUCGAUCUAAUUGGUCUUCAAGGUUCCCGAGGCUGCGCACCAGUUUUUGAUGUCGAUUGAACAGGGCUCCAGAUUAAUCACUUGUCCUCACAGCCCUUUGGAAUAAGAUUCACUCUCUAGCUGUUUAAAGCUUUUCUUUCGGUUCUAGGAAACAGCUUAUUUUUCCGCUUUUCCUAUCAGACUUUGACACUGGACUGUAAAGUUUUCCCAUGGGUUUUUGCAUAUCCCUUCGACAGGCUGUAUUAUUUACAGAAUUGGGUAGGGGAAGGCUACUCUGUCAGCUGUGGUUGGUUGCCUUAUCUUUGUUCUUGAGAGAAUAGCUUGGACUUUUCCACCACACAUGAAGAUUUUAUUUGAAAGCAGAGAUACUUGCCCCUGCCAGCUACCAUCAGAUAAAAUUAAAUAGAAGGCCAUACUUGUAUCUCUGGGGUGCAUGCUUAGUACUGCAAUCAUGUAAGUAAUGGACAUUUGACCAUCUUUCCCUUUUAACUCUCACAACUCUGGCAAAACAAGAAUAAUUUUCUUCAUUUUUACAGUGUUAAGAUCUGGAUUUGAACCCAAUCCUAUUUUCAAGGCUCUUCUACUAUCUCAUAAAAGAGUAUGGGCAUGGAGGCUGAAGAAGCCAAGAUUGUUUGGAUUAUUUUGAAUUCCAAGGUUAGGAAAUCAAAAUUUUUUAGGGUAGAUGCAGUUGCAGUUAGAAAGGAGAAUAGCACAGAAUUUGAAAGCACAGACAGAAAUCUUACAGUCUGGGUCAGACCCUGACUCUGCAGCUUACCAUCUACUAGAAAUUACUUAACCUUCCAAACUUUAUUGUUUUAUUCUAAAAAUGGGGCAUAGCAAUAACACCCACCUCACAGUUUCACUGAGGGGCUUAAAUUAGAUGCAUCUGCAAUGCUUAGCACAGGGGUGGACAGAGGUGCUUAAUCAAUGAUAGAUGAUGUUCUUAUAAAUACUAAGAUCAAAGAAGAGGAAAAUUUGGCUUCUUAAACCAACAACACUUCUAUUUCCAUUCUUGGCUUCUUCUCCUGUAUCCAGACAGGCUGAUUUCAGUUUAGGAAAAAGCAUACCAUGUACUAUUUCCCAUCCUAACAUUUUUAUGCAAGUAAAAUCAGUUUAAACAAAGAACAGACUUAAAAGAGUAAGUCACAAAACUUGUAGCCUUAUAAACUGUGCAUGUCGGGGCUUAUCCUUUUUGGUGAGGUCAUUUGAUGUUUGGGAAAGAGUUCUGAAGUCACACAGACCUACCCAGCUUUAGGACUUCACCAUGGACUGCUGCGAGCUAGUAUAAAUUAUUUAAUCUCUCAAAGCCUCGGGGUUUUUAUUUAUUCAAGACAAAGAUUAAUAAUAUCAUCUUUCCAAAGUCACAGUAAGAAUUAAGCCAUAUUAUGUAUGUAAAAGUGCUUAGCAGAAUUCUUGGCACAUCACUGUUCCUGAAUAAAUGAAAC
ensembl:lncRNA novel transcript